AGCAGGAGGCCUGGGCCUAUGCUGCACAGCAAAAGGCCUGUGUGCUUGUAGUGCGCUGGUCGGCACACUGCCACAUUGGGCAGUGCACCACUGUCGCCUCGGGCGAUGUGCCACCAUAGCUGUGGAGGAGGCCCUCCUCUCUUAUUUUUCGUGCCGAGCAUCUUUUUCUCCUCUCUCUUCAUCGAAUUUUGCCACUUGGUGAGAAUUCGACUGUUCA
rnacentral:lncRNA from 1 species